CCUGACUGCUAUCGGAUUGGUACUAAGCCAUGUGAGUCAUUGUAGCAAUACAAGGCAGACGGCUCAGUAACACGUAGCCAACCUACCCUAUGGACGGGGAUAACCUCGGGAAACUGAGGAUAAACCCCGAUAGAUCAUAAUGCCUGGAACGGUUUAUGGUCCAAAUGAUUCGUCGCCGUAGGAUGGGACUGCGGCCUAUCAGCUUGUUGGUGAGGUAAUGGCCCACCAAGGCUAUUACAGGUACGGGCUCUGAGAGGAGAAGCCCGGAGAUGGGUACUGAGACACGGACCCAGGCCCUAUGGGGCGCAGCAGGCGAGAAACCUUUGCAAUGUGCGCAAGCACGACAAGGUUAAUCCGAGUGUUUCCUGCUAAAGGAAUCUUUUGUUAGUCCUAAAAACACUAGCGAAUAAGGGGUGGGCAAGUUCUGGUGUCAGCCGCCGCGGUAAAACCAGCACCUCAAGUGGUCAGGAGGAUUAUUGGGCCUAAAGCAUCCGUAGCCUGCUCUGUAAGUUUCCGGUUAAAUCCAUUAGCUCAACUGAUGGGCCGCCGGAAAAACUGCAGAGCUAGGGAGUGGGAGAGGUAGACGGUACUCGGUAGGAAGGGGUAAAAUCCUUUGAUCUAUUGAUGACCACCUGUGGCGAAGGCGGUCUACCAGAACACGUUCGACGGUGAGGGAUGAAAGCUGGGGGAGCAAACCGGAUUAGAUACCCGGGUAGUCCCAGCUGUAAACGAUGCAGACUCGGUGAUGCCCUGGCUUGUGGCCAGUGCAGUGCCGCAGGGAAGCCGUUAAGUUUGCCGCCUGGGAAGUACGUACGCAAGUAUGAAACUUAAAGGAAUUGGCGGGGGAGCACCACCAAGGGGUGAAGCCUGCGGUUC
rnacentral:rRNA from 1 species